GGCCACCAAAGGUGUGGGGGGGGACGACAAACACUCGGGGACGUUUGUGACACACAAAAACAAAUCACCAGCGUCCAGGGUCAGCGCCGGGGAGUUCAGCCAAGUUCAGAAAUCAGACACCGCGCUGCCGCGGCUCCUGUGACACCGCACAGCUCAGCCCGAGCACACAUUGCCACCUGUCCUCGUCCGCAGAGGUCCCGGCUCUGGAACUCCGUGGAACAGCUCCCCGAUGGAGCCAGCGAGCGCCGGCUGGCUCCGGGAGCAGCGAAGGGCACCGAGAGCCCCGAGGGGAGCCGCAGUGAACCAAAAUUCUACACUGGUGUCAGUGGAAUUUCUGAGGGAAUCUUAGUCAAAGCACAUGGGCUGUACGAGCUAGACUCAAAAGGCUGUUAAUGCUAAACCUGAGAUUUGCAUCUUUACACUCCUGACACAGCCACGACAGGGACAAAGGUUUGUAACAGCCAUAUAAACAAGGAAAUAUUGUUGCCUGUCCUGUUUUAACUGUUCUACACCAUCUGUUUGAGCUGUGAUGGGAAAGGAAAUGAAACUACAGCUGUUAAAAUUGCCAGGGAGAUGCUGUUUGUUUCCUGGGAAGUCAAGAGCUAAUCUAAUGUACUUGCCUGUCAGCUGAGCAGGCCCAGAGUAAUCCAAUUAGGAUAAUUAGAAGCAGCCAGAAGUGCAAUUUAGUGCAUUGCUGCUCCAGUCCAACAUUCAGGUGAGCUUCACAGUGCAGUGGGUCUGUGUGCACCCCUCAGGGUGGAACUGCUUGGAAAAUAAAAAUAAAGCAGAUGCCCUUAAAACCA
rnacentral:lncRNA from 1 species